rnacentral:rRNA from 1 species
CCUACGGGGGGCAGCAGUCGAGAAUUUUUCUCAAUGGGGGAAACCCUGAAGGAGCGACGCCGCGUGGAGGAUGAAGGUCUUCGGGUUGUAAACUCCUGUCAUUUGAGAACUAGUAUCAGAAGAGGAAGGGACGGCUAACUCUGUGCCAGCAGCCGCGGUAAUACAGAGGUCCCAAGCGUUGUUCGGAUUCAUUGGGCGUAAAGGGUGUGUAGGUGGCGCCGUAAGUCGGGUGUGAAAUCUCGGGGCUUAACUCCGAAACUGCAUUCGAUACUGCGGUGCUUGAGGACUGGAGAGGAGACUGGAAUUCAUGGUGUAGCAGUGAAAUGCGUAGAGAUCAUGAGGAAGACCAGUGGCGAAGGCGGGUCUCUGGACAGUCCUGACACUGAGACACGAAGGCCAGGGGAGCAAACGGGAUUAGAUACCCUUGUAGUC